CCAGACUCCUACGGGAGGCAGCAGUAGGGAAUCUUCGGCAAUGGGGGGAACCCUGACCGAGCAACGCCGCGUGAGUGAAGAAGGUUUUCGGAUCGUAAAACUCUGUUGUUAAGGAAGAACGAGUGUGAGAAUGGAAAGUUCAUACUGUGACGGUACUUAACCAGAAAGGGACGGCUAACUACGUGCCAGCAGCCGCGGUAAUACGUAGGUCCCGAGCGUUGUCCGGAUUUAUUGGGCGUAAAGCGAGCGCAGGCGGUUAGAUAAGUCUGAAGUUAAAGGCAGUGGCUCAACCAUUGUAGGCUUUGGAAACUGUUUAACUUGAGUGCAGAAGGGGAGAGUGGAAUUCCAUGUGUAGCGGUGAAAUGCGUAGAUAUAUGGAGGAACACCGGUGGCGAAAGCGGCUCUCUGGUCUGUAACUGACGCUGAGGCUCGAAAGCGUGGGGAGCGAACAGGAUUAGAUACCCUGGUAGUCCACGCCGUAAACGAUGAGUGCUAGGUGUUAGGUCCUUUCCGGGACUUAGUGCCGCAGCUAACGCAUUAAGCACUCCGCCUGGGGAGUACGACCGCA
rnacentral:rRNA from 1 species